rnacentral:rRNA from 1 species
GGCCUUCACUAUUGGGAGUAACGGUCCCCAAGGGGAGCGGUAACCGCCUGAGAGGCGACCCGCCCCACUGGGUUGAGACCCGCCCCAGACUUCUACGGGGGGCAGCGUGGGGGAAUAUGCACAAUGGGCGAAAAGCCCUGAUGCAGGGACGCCGCGUGAGGGAUGACGGCCUUUGGGGUUGUAAACCUCUUUCAGCAGGGAAGAAGCGAAAGUGACGGUACCUGCAGAAGAAGCGCCGGCUAAAUACGUGCCAGCAGCCGCGGUAAUACGUAGGGCGCAAGCGUUGUCCGGAAUUAUUGGGCGUAAAGAGCUCGUAGGCGGCCUGUCACGUCGGAUGUGAAAGCCCGGGGCUUAACCCCGGGUCUGCAUUCGAUACGGGCAGGCUAGAGUUCGGUAGGGGAGAUCGGAAUUCCUGGUGUAGCGGUGAAAUGCGCAGAUAUCAGGAGGAACACCGGUGGCGAAGGCGGAUCUUUGGGCCGAUACUGACGCUGAGGAGCGAAAGCGUGGGGAGCGAACAGGAUUAGAUACCCUGGUAGUCCACGCCGUAAACGUUGGGAACUAGGUGUGGGCGACAUUCCACGUCGUCCGUGCCGCAGCUAACGCAUUAAGUUCCCCGCCUGGGGAGUACGGCCGCAAGGCUAAAACUCAAAGGAAUUGACGGGGGCCCGCACAAGCGGCGGAGCAUGUGGCUUAAUUCGACGCAACGCGAAGAACCUUACCAAGGCUUGACAUACACCGGAAACACCCAGAGAUGGGUGCCCCCUUGUGGUCGGUGUACAGGUGGUGCAUGGCUGUCGUUUGGCUCGUGUCCCUUUUCCGG